rnacentral:rRNA from 1 species
AAUCAACGCUGGCGGCGUGCCUCAGACAUGCAAGUCGAACGCGAAAGUCCCCUUCGGGGGAUGAUUAGAGUGGCGCACGGGUGAGUAACACGUAGGUAAUCUACCUUCGAGUGGGGAAUAACUCAGGGAAACUUGAGCUAAUACCGCAUAAUGCAGCGGCACCACAUGGUGACAGUUGUUAAAGCAUUUAUGCGCUUGAAGAGGAGCCUGCGGCAGAUAGCUAGUUGGUAAGGUAAUGGCUUACCAAGGCUACGAUCUGUAACCGGCCUGAGAGGGCGGACGGUCACACUGACACUGAAUAACGGGUCAGACUCCUACGGGAGGCAGCAGUCGGGAAUUUUGGGCAAUGGGCGAAAGCCUGACCCA